rnacentral:tRNA from 2 species
GGCUCAGUAGCUCAGUUGGUUAGAGUGCCGGCCUGUCACGCCGGAGGUCGAGGGUUCGAGUCCCUUCUGAGUCGCCA